rnacentral:rRNA from 1 species
AACGAACGCUGGCGGCAGGCUUAACACAUGCAAGUCGAACGGGUGCAGCAAUGCAUCAGUGGCAGACGGGUGAGUAACACGUGGGAACCUUCCUAGGGGUACGGAACAACUCAGGGAAACUUGAGCUAAUACCGUAUACGUCCGUAAGGAGAAAGAUUCAUCGCCCCUAGACGGGCCCGCGUCGGAUUAGGUAGUUGGUGGGGUAACGGCCUACCAAGCCUACGAUCCGUAGCUGAUCNGAGAGGAUGAUCAGCCACACUGGGACUGAGACACGGCCCAGACUCCUACGGGAGGCAGCAGUGGGGAAUCUUGGACAAUGGGCGCAAGCCUGAUCCAGCCAUGCCGCGUGAGUGAAGAAGGCCUUAGGGUUGUAAAGCUCUUUUACCAGGGACGAUAAUGACGGUACC